rnacentral:rRNA from 1 species
GAUGAACGCUGGCGGCGUGCCUAAUACAUGCAAGUCGAGCGAACAGACGAGGAGCUUGCUCCUCUGACGUUAGCGGCGGACGGGUGAGUAACACGUGGAUAACCUACCUAUAAGACUGGGAUAACUUCGGGAAACCGGAGCUAAUACCGGAUAAUAUAUUGAACCGCAUGGUUCAAUAGUGAAAGACGGUUUUGCUGUCACUUAUAGAUGGAUCCGCGCCGCAUUAGCUAGUUGGUAAGGUAACGGCCUACCAAGGCAACGAUGCGUAGCCGACCUGAGAGGGUGAUCGGCCACACUGGAACUGAGACACGGUCCAGACUCCUACGGGAGGCAGCAGUAGAGAAUCUUCCGCAAUGGGCGAAAGCUUGACGGAGCAACGCCGCGUGAGUGAUGAAAGUCUUCGGAUCGUAAAACUCUGUUAUUAGGGAAGAACAAAUGUGUAAGUAACUAUGCACGUCUUGACGGUACCUAAUCAGAAAGCCACGGCUAACUACGUG